AUACGGAGGAUGCGAGCGUUAUCCGGAUUUAUUGGGUUUAAAGGGUGCGUAGGCGGGCUGUUAAGCGUGAGGUGAAAGCUCGGGGCUCAACCCCGGAACUGCCUCGCGAACUGGCGGUCUUGAAUGUCCGUGCCGUGGGAGGAAUGGGUGGUGUAGCGGUGAAAUGCAUAGAGAUCAACCAGAACACCGAUUGCGAAGGCAUCUGACGAAUCCGUCGCUGACGCUUAGGCACGAAAGCGUGGGGAUAGAACAGGAUUAGAUACCCUGGUAUUCCACGCCGUAAACGAUGAUGACUAACCGUCGGCGAUAGACAGCCGGUGGCCAAGCGAAAGCGAUAAGUCAUCCACCUGGGGAGUACGUCGGCAACGAUGAAACUCAAAUGAAUUGACGGGG
rnacentral:rRNA from 1 species